GCUAGUUGGAAUACAGACAAGAUGGCUGGAACUCAAGCAGCCGUAUUAGACUAUGAAUUGGAAGUCACCUGUGGCAGAUAGCAAAGAAAUAAAAAGAGGAAGCCUGGGCCAGGCACAGUGGCUCACUCCUGUAAUCCCAGCACUUUGGGAGACUGAGGCAGGAAGAUAGCUUGAGCCCAGGAGUUUGAUAUCUGCCUGGCCAACAUAGUGAGACUUUGUCUCUACAAAUAAUAAUAAAAAAAAAAUUAGCAGGGCAUGGUGACACAUACCUGUGGUCCCAGCUACUUGGGAGGCUGAGGUGGACAUCACGUGAACCCGGGAGGUGUUGGGGCUGCGGUGAGCCAUGAUCACGUCACAGCACUCUGGGCUGGGUGACAGAGUGAGAACUCAUUUCAAAAAAAGGAAGCCUGGAUUACUGAUGUUUGUGGAGCAACUAUACAGCCCUAGACUGCUUACUCUGGGGUUUUGUUUAUAUAAGACAGAAUGAACUUCUAGCUUGUUUAAACAGUUGUCACUUUGAGUUUUCUUUUACUUGGCAGCUUAACCUCAUCCUGAUUGAUAGAGAGCUAUUGGGGAGGACAACCACUGGGCUUCUGACAUGACCGGCGGGAAGCCUGAACCCUCUGGAUGGUCAUCUCGCCACCACACGGGAAGGAAGUUUGCCUGAAUAAAGCCGACAUAGAAGGAGGCAAGAAGCUUCCUGAGGCCUCACCAGGAGCAAAUGCCAGCACCAUGCUUCUUGCACAACCUGCAGAACCAGAAACCAAAAUAAACUUUUCUUUACAAAUUACCCAGCCUCACAAAUUCCUUCAUAGCAAUGCAAACUGACUAACACAGGCCAGGUGCAGGGGCUCACACCUGUAAUCCCAGCACUUGGGAGGCCAAGGUGGGUGGAUUACCUGAGGUCAGGAGUUUGAGACCAGCCUGGCCAACAUGGCGAAAACCCAUCUCUACUAAAAAUACAAAAAGUAGCUGGGCAUGGUGGUGUAUGCCUGUAGUUUCAGCUACUUGGGAGGCUGAAGCAGGAGAAUCGCGUGAACCUAGGAGGCAGAGGUUGCAGUGAGCCGAGAUCACACCACUGUACCCCAGCCUGGCUGACAGAGUGAGAUUCCAUUUCAAAAAACAAACAAACAAAUAAACACUGACUAACACGGGCAUACCCUUGAUUUUGUCAUAUCUCUGAAUGAAGGUUUGCCAGACAGACCUUCUAGCAGGAAUUUCAGUUUCCUGAGAACAGGGUCUUUCUUGGAUUUGUUUACAGUUAUGUCUUCAUUUGAUAAAUAUUCACUACAUGAGUUAAUUGGAGGCUGGGUGCUGUGGCUCAUGCUUCUAAUUCCAGUUCUUUGGAAGGCGGAGGUGGGAGGAUCCCUUGAGCUCAGGAGUUCAAGACCAGCCUGGGCAACACAGUAAGACUUUCUACAGAAAUUUUUAAAAAUUAGCCAGGCCUGGUGGUGUGUACCUGUAGUCCCAGCUACCUGGGGAGCUAAGGCAGAAGGAUAGCUUGAGAACAGAAGUUCGAGGGUGCAGUGAGCCGUGAUUGCACCAGUGCACUUCACCUGGAGUGAUUCUGUCUCAAAAAGAAAAAAAAAAAAGUUAAUGAGAGACUGAGGCAGACAUGGUACAAGACCCCCCAUUCCCAUAGACUGCCUUUGCAUUUAUUUCUGAAUGAGUUUUGGGAAGGGGAUGACCUCUUUCUGCUGUAUCUCUAGGAGCUAGGUGAGGGUUCCAGGGAUAAGCAAAAGGUGUCCCAGCAUCUUGGCAUAUAUUUCCAGACACUCUCCCCUCAGUUGCUCAUCAGAGGCGCCCUCUGAGAGAUUUCCAGAAAACUUAUGGAGAGUCAAGCAUUUGCUUAUCUUUGGGAGGCAUAUACAUUCCCCUUUGCUGUCUCUGAAGGUUGUUAUCUGAAAACUGUCUAGACUUUAGAUUCAAGCUGGGCAGGAGAAGGGCAAUGAAAUACUUCUCCACUUGGGGGUGGGGCUGGACGCGAUGAAAUAUUUCCACUGCUGACCUGUGGGGCUGACUCCCUGCACAGUCAGCUCGAGGCCCCACAACUCGGGGCAUGGGGUUUGUCAGUGUCUCAGUGCC
ensembl:lncRNA